UACGUAGGGACCAAGCGUUGUCCGGAAUCAUUGGGCGUAAAGCGCGCGUAGGUGGCCAUUUAAGUCCGCUGUGAAAGUCAGAGGCUCAACCUUUGAAAGGCGGUGGAUACUGGAUGGCUAGAGUACGGAAGAGGCGAGUGGAAUUCCUGGUGUAGCGGUGGAAUGCGCAGAUAUCAGGAGGAACACCAAUAGCGAAGGCAGCUCGCUGGGACGUUACUGACACUAAGGCGCGAAAGCGUGGGGAGCGAACAGG
rnacentral:rRNA from 1 species